GCCCGCCCGGCGCGGCUCCUGCCGAGGAAACAAAAAAAGCGAAAAAAAUAAGGCGGGGGGGGAGAGGUCUCCUUUCAUAGACUGUACAGAAUUUGAAAGGAGAAAAUAAUCACCGUUGACCCAUGAGACAUGCAACCUAAAGCGUUGAAGGCACCAGAAUUUACGUACCAUGAGCAACCUCAUGGCGAUGAGUAAGGAAUCACAAGCCUAUAAAUCUGUCCAGGGCUCGGUAUGCAUUAUGUGAUCCACAGGCAACAAAGGGGGAUGAGGCUGAGGAUGUCUUUCUAUUUCAAAUGACUCCUGUCUGGUAUAUUAGAUUUCUUUACAAAUGUCAACCAAGAGACGAUAAAGGAGAGCUGGUGCUCUGAUUAACUUGAAUGCUUCAAAAGUCCCUCAAAAAAGUCCUACAUAAAAAGCCCCCUAAAUCGCUAGGUGGUGAUAAAGUCAUGCAACGCG
rnacentral:lncRNA from 1 species